rnacentral:tRNA from 1 species
AAAAAAAAAGUAUAAGUGUAUAUAUGAUUUUGGAUCAUAUGGUGUAGUUUUAGCUACUUG